UGAAGUUACACAGUUUUUAGCAGUAUUCUC
rnacentral:piRNA from 1 species